CAAUUUAUUAUUUUUCUCAAAUCACACACAAACACACACAACACUCUUUCUCUCUCUUCUUCCCUCGCUCAACCAAUAUAAAUUCACAAUCCAAAGAAAAAAAAAAUCUUCAAUUAAAGUGAGAAAUUUUUUGCUUAGGGUUUUGUUUUUCACAAUCCCAAGGUUAAAUCUCGCUUCAAUUCUCCAUAUAAGAGCAAAAAAAUUAGGGUUUUUGAUUCUGAUUCUUGAAAAAAAAUCGAAUCAUUUUUUGAGAUACCCAGAAGGGUAAUUAGGGUUUAUAGAGAAAAAGUGAAGUGGGUUUGAAGAAAGUUUGGAUUUUUUUUGGUUUGAAAGAUGACGGAUGUGAUACUGCAUAUAUAUGAUGUAACGAAUAGUGGAUCCGAGAAAGCUAAUAAUACCAUUCUUCAGAUCAAUAAGAUCUUUAAGGAUGGUAUUGGUCUUGGUGGCAUUUUUCAUAGUGCUGUUCAGGUUUUUGGAGAAGAUGAAUGGUCAUUUGGAUACUGCGAGCAAGGUAGUGGAGUUUUUAGCUGCCCAUCUGGACAGAAUCCAAUGUAUACCUAUCGUGAAUCCAUUGUUCUAGGGAAAACAAACUUUCCCAUUUUCAAGGUAAAUCAAAUAAUAAGAGAACUCAGUAGAGAGUGGCCUGGAACUGCAUAUGAUCUGUUGUCCAAAAACUGCAACCACUUCUGUGAUGAAUUCUGUGAACGGCUCGAUGUACCAAAACUUCCAGGUUGGGUUAAUAGGUUUGCUAAUGCUGGUGAUACUGCCAUGGAAGUUGCUGGGAAUACGGCAUUACGGUUCCGACAAGCGAAAACAGAGAUUGUAUCAGCAAGCAAAGUAGCAUACAGGUUCCUCCUAGGCGUUACAAACAACGUUACUAACAAUGUUACAAACAAUAUCAAAACAGGUCCCGAUUCCCCCAACAAUUCAAACAGGGGGGAGUCAUCCCCAAGAUUUCAAGCUUCUUGGUUGAAAAACAUGAUUACCAAUGGUGCAAAACCAUCUACUAGUUCAGAUGCUGAGAAUCACAAUGGAGCUGUUCCUUUACAACCAACAAGAGAAGAUGACAAGGCUCUGCUACAUAGUUCAUCUUCGCGUCAUGAUAGUUGAUGGAAAGGAAUCUGUGUCAAAAAUGUUUAGCGUUACUUUCUGAUGUGUAUUCUAUUAUGUUGUAAGUCACAAAAAGGAAACAGAAUUUUUUUCAUGGUAUUCAUAGUGUAUCAAAUGUAUAAUUUUCAUUUGUUGUUCAACUUCAAAUCUUAAUAUUGGUGCCUCCUGAAACUAUGUUCAAUGAAUAUCAAAGCUGCAGUGUACAAUGAUGGUAGUAACAAUUUGGAGUGGAUCAUUGAAAUUUUCAUGAAGGUUUUUUUUGUUUUGUUUCUCUUCAUGUACAUUUGUAAAUUUAGAUUUAGAUUGGUAUACUUGUUUAUAGUGUUUGGUUUGAUAUGA